UCCCAUGGGACGAACACAAUGACGGUACCAUGGGAGGAAGCCCGGGCUAACUACGUGCCAGCAGCCGCGGUAAUACGUAGGGGGCAAGCGUUGUCCGGAAUUAUUGGGCGUAAAGGUGCGUAGGCGGCCUUUCAAGUCGGAUGUGAAAUCCCCGUGCUUAACAUGGGAAUUGCAUUCGAAACUGGAGGGCUUGAGUGUGGAAGAGGUAAGUGGAAUUCCCAGUGUAGCGGUGAAAUGCGUAGAUAUUGGGAGGAACACCAGUGGCGAAGGCGACUUACUGGGCCACAACUGACGCUGAGGCACGAAAGCGUGGGGAGCAAACAGGAUUAGAUACCCUGGUAGUCCACGCUGUAAACUAUGGAUACUAGGUGUAGGGGGUAACACCCCCCCUGUGCCGCAGCUAACGCAAUAAGUAUCCCGCCUGGGGAGUACGGUCGCAAGAUUGAAACUCAAAGGAAUUGACGGGGGCCCGCACAAGCAGCGGAGCAUGUGGUUUAAUUCGAAGCAACGCGAAGAACCUUACCAAGGCUUGACAUCCUCUGACCGCCAUGGAAACAUGGCUUCCCUUCGGGGCAGAGAGACAGGUGGUGCAUGGUUGUCGUCAGCUCGUGUCGUGAGAUGUUGGGUUAAGUCCCGCAACGAGCGCAACCCUUACACUUAGUUACCAGCGGGUAAUGCCGGGGACUCUAGGUGGACUGCCGGGGACAACUCGGAGGAAGGUGGGGAUGACGUCAAAUCAUCAUGCCCCUUAUGUCUUGGGCUACACACGUGCUACAAUGGCCGCUACAAAGGGAUGCAAUACCGCAAGGAGGAGCAAAACCCAUAAAAGCGGUCCCAGUUCGGAUUGUGGGCUGCAACCCGCCCACAUGAAGUCGGAGUUGCUAGUAAUCGCGGAUCAGCAUGCCGCGGUGAAUGCGUUCCCGGGCCUUGUACACACCGCCCGUCACACCAUGGGAGUUGGGAGUGCCCGAAGCCGGGACUUAACCGCAAGGAGAGAGCCUCGAAGGCAAGACCAAGU
rnacentral:rRNA from 1 species